rnacentral:rRNA from 1 species
GGGGUGAAGCUCGCGUGAGAUGAGCCCGCGGCUAUCAGCUGUGUGAGUACGCUCACCAUGGCGACGACGGGUAGCCGCUGAGAGGGCGACUGCACACUGGGACUGAGACACGGCCCAGACUCUACGGGAGGCAGCAGUGGGGAAUAUGCACAAUGGCGAAAGCUGAUGCAGCGACGCCGCGUGAGGGAUGACGGCUUCGGGUUGUAAACCUCUUUCAGCAGGGAAGAAGCGAGAGUGACGGUACCUGCAGAAGAAGCGCCGGCUAACUACGUGCCAGCAGCCGCGGUAAUACGUAGGGCGCAAGCGUUGUCCGGAAUUAUUGGGCGUAAAGAGCUCGUAGGCGGUCUGUCGCGUCGGAUGUGAAAGCCCGGGGCUUAACCCCGGGUCUGCAUUCGAUACGGGCAGACUAGAGUGUGGUAGGGGAGAUCGGAAUUCCUGGUGUAGCGGUGAAAUGCGCAGAUAUCAGGAGGAACACCGGUGGCGAAGGCGGAUCUCUGGGCCAUUACUGACGCUGAGGAGCGAAAGCGUGGGGAGCGAACAGGAUUAGAUACCCUGGUAGUCCACGCCGUAAACGGUGGGAACUAGGUGUUGGCGACAUUCCACGUCGUCGGUGCCGCAGCUAACGCAUUAAGUUCCCCGCCUGGGGAGUACGGCCGCAAGGCUAAAACUCAAAGGAAUUGACGGGGGCCCGCACAAGCAGCGGAGCAUGUGGCUUAAUUCGACGCAACGCGAAGAACCUUACCAAGGCUUGACAUACACCGGAAACGGCCAGAGAUGGUCGCCCCCUUGUGGUCGGUGUACAGGUGGUGCAUGGCUGUCGUCAGCUCGUGUCGUGAGAUGUUGGGUUAAGUCCCGCAACGAGCGCAACCCUUGUUCUGUGUUGCCAGCAUGCCCUUCGGGGCGAUGGGGACUCACAGGAGACUGCCGGGGUCAACUCGGAGGAAGGUGGGGACGACGUCAAGUCAUCAUGCCCCUUAUGUCUUGGGCUGCACACGUGCUACAAUGGCCGGUACAAAGAGCUGCGAAACCGUGAGGUGGAGCGAAUCUCAAAAAGCCGGUCUCAGUUCGGAUUGGGGUCUGCAACUCGACCCCAUGAAGUCGGAGUUGCUAGUAAUCGCAGAUCAGCAUUGCUGCGGUGAAUACGUUCCCGGGCCUUGUACACACCGCCCGUCACGUCACGAAAGUCGGUAACACCCGAAGCCGGUGGUAGCAACCCCCUGUGGGAGGGAGCGAAUG